CCUACGGGAGGCAGCAGUGGGGAAUAUUGCACAAUGGGGGAAACCCUGAUGCAGCGACGCCGCGUGAAGGAUGAAGUACUUCGGUAUGUAAACUUCUAUCAGCAGGGAAGAAAAUGACGGUACCUGACUAAGAAGCCCCGGCUAACUACGUGCCAGCAGCCGGGGUAAUACGUAGGGGGCAAGCGUUAUCCGGAUUUACGGGGUGUAAAGGGAGCGUAGACGGCAUGGCAAGUCUGAUGUGAAAACCCGGGGCUCAACCCCGAGACUGAAUUGAAAACUGUCAGGCUAGAGUGUCGGGAGGGCGAGUGGAAUGCCUGGUGUAGCGGGGAAAUGCGUGGAUAUUAGGAGGAACACGAGUGGCGAAGGCGGCUUGCAGGACGAUGACUGACGUUGAGGCUCGAAGGCGUGGGAAGCAAACAGGAUUAGAUACCCCAGUAGU
rnacentral:rRNA from 1 species